rnacentral:rRNA from 1 species
UUAGAGUUUGAUCCUGGCUCAGGAUGAACGCUAGCUACAGGCUUAACACAUGCAAGUCGAGCGGUAUGUGCUUUAGUGCAUACAGCGGCAGACGGGUGAGUAACACGUAUCUAACCUUCCCCUUACUUGGGCAUAGCCUCUGGAAACGGAGAUUAAUUUCCGAUGUGGUGUACAUUUCGCAUGUUUUGCGCACCAAAGAUUUAUCGGUAAGGGAUGGGGAUGCGCUCCAUUAGGUUGUAGGUAGGGUAAUGGCCUACCUAGCCUAUGAUGGAUAGGGGUUCUGAGAGGAAGGUCCCCCACAUUGGAACUGCGACACGGUCCAAACUCCUACGGGAGGCAGCAGUGAGGAAUAUUGGUCAAUGGCCGGAAGGCUGAACCAGCCAAGUAGCGUGCAGGAUGACUGCCUUAUGGGUUGUAAACUGCUUUUUUACGGGAAUAAUUAUGAUCACGUGUGAUUAUUUGCAUGUACCGUAAGAAUAAGGAUCGGCUAACUCCGUGCCAGCAGCCGCGGUAAUACGGAGGAUCCUAGUGUUAUCCGGAUUUAUUGGGUUUAAAGGGAGCGUAGGCGGGAGGUCAAGUCAGCUGUGAAAUGUAUCUGCUUAACGGGUACACUGCAGUUGAAACUGGUUUUCUUGAGUGCGUAUGAGGCAGGCGGAAUUCCUGGUGUAGCGGUGGAAUGCGCAGAUAUCAGGAGGAACACCGAUGGCGAAGGCAGGUUACUGGGCCACCACUGACGCUGAGGAGCGAAAGCGUGGGUAGCGAACAGGAUUAGAUACCCUGGUAGUCCACGCCGUAAACGUUG